UCUUCACAUAAUACAUACCUUUUUUUUCAAUGAUGGCUGGAUGAUAGUUCCUUUAUCCUUCGUAUGUACCUGCAUCUCAAACAAUGUUAGUCUUCUACUAUUAGUAAAGGCCGCCAGCAUUGGCAGAAUUUUCUACACACAUAAAAUUGAUCAUACCAAAAGCAGGAAAGCAACUAGAGUACUAUAAGCAGCAAUUUACUUCGAAGGAUUGAAUAUUAGAGUUUUUUGUGUUUGCGAAACAGAAGGUGGGAGAGGAUAUAUCGGAGAGAAGAAACUGAAUAGAAGGUGGGAGAGGAUAUGUCGGAGAGAAGAAACUGAAUCGAAAAGAGAAGGUCACGGGCGACCCGUCGGAUACCCGGAACUAGAAUGUAAAAUCUUAAAUAUCAGGACCAUUCAUUUUUUAUAAUCCGAUGGUGGAGAACAUCAUGUGCGAUAGCGUGAGAUAAAUCGUGUGAGCGGAUCCGUUCUCAUUGUUGUUUCAGGCAACAAUAUUUAGGUUUUUUAUAUGUUUGUAUUUGUUUUUUUAAUGGAUCUGAUUGCUUCUUCAUGCUAUUCUUCAUGCUAUUCGGAUUUUUUUUCCUGAUAGCCAUUAUGGCAUUGAUUGGUGGAAUUGUUGCAUCGUUUUCAAAUAUGUUAUGAAAGACGACGAUUUAUUUAGGAAAUUAAUACCGAUAUUGAUCGUGAUAGUGUCAAUUUGGGCUUAUUACUUCUCUAUAGUGGAAGCAUCUAACAUAUAUGAUGUUGAUGAUGAAGAAUCAAAGGAUAGUCAAAAUGGAUUGUAUCAAUAACCAUUAAAAAGGUGUCAAUUUCAUAUACAAAAUAUAAAUUAGUACAAUUUCGGUUUUUCAUUUCUUUAUGUUUCGAAAUCUGUAAAUUUAGUACUAGUUCUUUUUGUUUCUUACUGAUGUAAUUGAUAUUAAUGUUAUCAUGAUUCCUUGAAUGGUGAUCCUGCACCAUUAUGUAUCCUUUCAAACCUCAGUUUUAAUAAGGUAA